GAUUUGGUUGGGUAUUAACUCUAGUUGUAGAGUGUCCUCAUUUGGAGAGGAUAGAUCUAGCUCACAGUCUGCGUUUAGGAUGGUAUAGCCAUCCAAUCCCCACAUGGAGGGGAUUGUCGUCGAGUACUCCGGAGUGUCGCGCGACUAGGACCACUUGGAGGUCCGGACCACAUGGAGGUCCGCAGACGGUCCCGGGCUUGGGUGCACUUGGAGCUCCCUCCCCACUUUGGGAUUUGAAGGUGAGUCAUGGGCGAGCCCUAGGGCCUCGCCACAGAUUGGGUAAAAGGAAAAGGUUAAAGGUUUAUAAAUGUCAUUGAGCAUUACUAUUCGAACAUGGAUCGAAUUUGUUAGCAUGGUAGCAAACCUUUACUAUAUGAUGCAUGCAUUCAUA
rnacentral:lncRNA from 1 species